UCUCCGCGCAAGCGCAAUACGCGCUCUGCGCAUGCGCACACUCUCCGUCGCUGCGCCCGGCGUUAACCUUUUCCCUGCCGGGGAGGGGCGGGCCUAGGGCUGGGGACUCGGGGGGAAGGGCGGAGGCGUUAGACUCGGGGCUGACCACCCCAACUCUGCACCUUACGUCCUCCUUAUCUGUGCAAUGGGAGCGGUCGUUCCUGCCUCACUGCGUUGUGGCGUUAUUUUAAAGGGGCUUUCGAAGGGAUCGAAAGUAAAAAGCCAGCAUAGGAACUUCAAUAUGCUUUUAAAAUACUUUGGAUACUUAUCGAGCGCCUACUAGAUGCGCCGCCCUAGCGCAGAAGGCUGGAAUGGGCUGAAAGGGGAAAACGAAACGUCACCCACAGUUUAGGUCUUCCUGGGCAUCUGCGCGGGACACCCUGAAGCUAAGAUUUCUCCUCCACUGCUCUGUCCUUAUGAGGGGCAGUGUGGCAUCGUGACAGAGGUAGGCCUUUGGAAUCAAGUAGAACCUGCAUUCAGUUCAGGUAAGUUACUUAAAUUCUGGGGACUCUAGACAUUUUCUUUGUGAAAAAAAGAAUUUCCUUUGUAAUUGGUAUGUUAGGCCCCCAGGACUGCCCUCAGGUUCACGAUUUGCUAGAAAGACUCACGCACCUCAGAAAAGCUGUUACACUUGUGGUUACAGUUUAUUACAGCAAAAGAAUAAUGCUUAAAAUCAGCAAAGGAAAAAAGUGCAUCAGGCAGAGUCCAGCAGAGACCAGAUGUGUGGUUCUAGUUGUCCUCACCCAGGGAGUCCUACAGACAGAGCUUGACUCUCCCAGGGAUGAUGUAUGACAGUGCACACAAAUGUUGCUAACCAUCUGAGCCUUGGUGUCCAGGGUUUUUACUGAGGGUCAGUUGUAUAGGCGUGGAGCACCGGCAUGACUGGCCACAGGUAUGUAGUCUUCGCUACCACUCCCCCACCCCAGUCAGUCAGACUAAAAUAGCGUGGCCAAGGCCCCAGGCAAAUGAAAACAGGCAUUCAUCCCAAGUCACAUUGUUAGCAUAAGCUAUCUGGUGUGACCCAAGGCCCUGAGUAUAGAAAGACGUCUUAUCAGGCAGGAUUUUCCAAGGGUUUAUAGGUUAUCUCCCAGAGCCAACCAAAGGCCAGUCCUUUCUUUGGACUGUGCAGAGUUUGAGGACUCCAGUCCUGCUGAUUUAAUCCUUUACUGCAUAGUUAGUUUAAAAAAUUACCGUGCAAGGGGCACCUGGGUAGCUCAGUCGGUUGAGCAUCCAAUUUUGGCUCAGGUCAUGAUCUCGCAGUUUGUGGGUUUGAGCCCUGCCUCAGGCUCUGUGCUGACAGCUGAGAGCCUGGAGCCUGCUUCGGAUUCUGUGUCUUCCACUCUUUCUGCCCCUCUCCUGCUCGUGCUCUGUCUCUCUUUCUUGCUCAAAAAUCAACAAACAUUAAAAAAAUAAUAAUAAAAAUUACUGUAUCAGCCAGACUCCAGGCAGGAAAAUCGAAACCACUGUAGUUAUUUAAAACAGAAUCGAAAUGCCUGGAUGGCGCAGUUAAGCGUCCGGCUUUGGCUCAGGUCACGAUCUCGCAGUUCAUUAGUUCAAGCCUCACGUCGGGCUCUGUGCUGACAGCUCAGAGCCCGGAGCCUGCUGUAGAUUCUGUGUGUUCCUCUCUCUCUGCCCCUCUCCUGCUCGCGCUCUGUCUCUCUCUGUCUCUGUCUCUCUCUCUCUC